GAUGAACGCUGACAGAAUGCUUAACACAUGCAAGUCGAUGGGGAAGUGGUGCUUGCACCAUGGUAACCAUGGCGGACGGGUGAGUAACGCGUAAGGAACUUGCCUGCGGGACUGGGAUAACAGCAGGAAACUGCUGAUAAUACCGGAUAAGGUCAUUAAGCUGCAUAGCUUAGUGAUGAAAGGAGACGCCUGCGGAGAGCCUUGCGUCCUAUUAGCUAGUUGGAGGGGUAACGGCCCACCAAGGCGAAGAUAGGUAGCCGGCCUGAGAGGGUGGACGGCCACAAGGGGACGGAGAUAAGGCCCUUACUCCUACGGGAGGCAGCAGUGGGGAAUAUUGGACAAUGGGGGCAACCCUGAUCCAGCAAUUCUGUGUGCACGAAGACGGUUUUCGGAUUGUAAAGUGCUUUCAGCAGGGAAGAAGGAAGUGACGGUACCUGCAGAAGAAGCGACGGCUAAAUACGUG
rnacentral:rRNA from 1 species